rnacentral:rRNA from 1 species
GACGAACGCUGGCGGCGUGCUUAACACAUGCAAGUCGAACGGAAAGGCCCUGCUUUUGUGGGGUGCUCGAGUGGCGAACGGGUGAGUAACACGUGAGUAACCUGCCCUUGACUUUGGGAUAACUUCAGGAAACUGGGGCUAAUACCGGAUAGGAGCUCCUGCUGCAUGGUGGGGGUUGGAAAGUUUCGGCGGUUGGGGAUGGACUCGCGGCUUAUCAGCUUGUUGGUGGGGUAGUGGCUUACCAAGGCUUUGACGGGUAGCCGGCCUGAGAGGGUGACCGGGCAGAUGGGGAGUGAGAUACGGACCAGACUCAUACCGGAGGCAGCAGUGAGGAAUGGUGGACAAUGGGCUAAAGCCUAUAGCAGCAACGCCGCGAGCAGGAUGAGGGGCUGCGGGUUGUAAACCGCGAACCCCCGUGAAAAGGCGUAAGUGACGGUGAUGUGCAGGAAGGCACCGACUACCUACGUA